rnacentral:rRNA from 1 species
UCUACGGGGUGCUGCAGUGAGGAAUAUUGGUCACUGGGAGAGAUCCUGAACCAGCCAAGCCGCGUGAGGGAAGACGGCCCUAUGGGUUGUAAACCUCUUUUGUCGGAGAACAAAACCCGGGACGUGUCCCGGACUGCGUGUAGCCGAAGAAAAAGCAUCGGCUAACUCCGUGCCAGCAGCCGCGGUAAUACGGAUGAUGCGAGCGUUAUCCGGAUUUCUUGGGUUUAAAGGGUGCGUGGGCGGUCCGUUAAGUCAGCGGUAAAAUUGCCGUUGAUACUGGCAUCCUUGAGUACAGUAGAGGUAGGCGGAAUUCGUGGUGUAGCGGUGAAAUGCUUAGAUAUCACGAAGAACUCCGAUUGCGAAGGCAGCCUGCUGGACUGUAACUGACGCUGAUGCUCGAAAGUGUGGGUAUCAAACAGGAUUAGAUACCCUAGUAGUC